CUUCGUUAUCCCAUGGACUGCAGCACGCCAGGCUUCCCUGUCUUCACCAUCUCCUGGAGCUUGUUCAAACUCAAGUCCAUUGAGUCGGUUAUGCCAUCUGAUCCUCUGUCGUCCCCUUCUCCUCCUGCCUUCAAUCUUUCCCAGCAUCAGGGUCUUUUUUAAUGAGUCAGUUCUUCGCAUCAGAUGACCAAAGUAUCAGAGCUUCAGCUUCAGCAGCAGUUCUUCCAAUGGAUAUUCAGCGGUUGAUAAGGAUUAUACUUACAUGGUAAGAGAGUGUAAAAAUAACCUGCUCCAGAAAAGAAGUAUGGAAGUAGUCUCACCAGGCCCUGCACAUUGUUAACCUCUGGGAAUGAACUUGGAGAUCUUAUCUCCCCGGACCGAGAAUCAAACCCAUGCCCCCUGCAGUGGAAGUGCAGAGUCCCAACCACUGGACUGCCAGGGAAUUCCCACAGGUCUAGUUUUAAUAGUUACAAAAUAUUCUUCAUUCAA
ensembl:lncRNA